GGUUCCAUAGUGUAGCAGUUAGCACGUCUGCUUUACAUGGAAAAGGUCCUGGGUUCGUGCCCCAGUGGAGCCA
rnacentral:tRNA from 1 species